GUACGCUGGCGGCACGCCUAACACAUGCAAGUCGAACGAAGUAGCAAUACUUAGUGGCAGACGGGUGAGUAACAUGUAGGUAUCUGCCCUUUGGCCUGGAAUAACACGAGGAAACUUGUGCUAAUACCGGAUAAGUCUUUACGGAGAAAGCUUUAUGCACCAUUGGAUGAGCCUGCACUUGAUUAGUUUGUUGGUGGGGUAAUGGCCUACCAAGACUGUGAUCAAUAGCUGAUUUGAGAGGAUGAUCAGCCACAUUGGGACUGAGACACGGCCCAAACUCCUACGGGAGGCAGCAGUGGGGAAUCUUGCACAAUGGAGGAAACUCUGAUGCAGCGAUGCCGCGUGAGUGAAGAAGGCCCUUGGGUUGUAAAGCUCUUUCGUCGGGGAAGAAAAUGACUGUACCCGAAUAAGAAGGUCCGGCUAACU
rnacentral:rRNA from 1 species